AAACAACAGGGAUUGCUCAGUAACGGCGAGUGAAGCGGCAAAAGCUCAAAUUUGAAACCCUCGGGAUUGUAAUUUGAAGAUUUGGCAUUGGAGAAAGCUAACCCAAGUUGCUUGGAAUAGUACGUCAUAGAGGGUGACAACCCCGUCUGGCUAACCGUUCUCCAUGUAUUGCCUUAUCAAAGAGUCGAGUUGUUUGGGAAUGCAGCUCAAAGUGGGUGGUAAACUCCAUCUAAAGCUAAAUACUGGUGAGAGACCGAUAGCGAACAAGUACUGUGAAGGAAAGGUGAAAAGAACUUUGAAAAGAGAGUGAAAUAGUAUGUGAAAUUGUUGAUAGGGAAGGAAAUGAGUGGAGAGUGGCCGAGGUUUCAGCCGCCCCUCGUGGGCGGUGUACUGCCGACGCCGAGUCAUCGAUAGCGAGACGAGGGUUACAAAUGGGAGCGCCUUCGGGCGUUCUCCCCUAACCCUCCACACUGCCACCGACGACAUAAUCCACCCAUUUCACG
rnacentral:rRNA from 1 species